AAGGAUGAGUUUGUGAAAUCUUAAGUGUCGUAGGAAAGACAUGCAUACUUAUAUGCUGGAAUUAUAUUAUUAAUUAAUAAAGGCUUCUCUAAUAGGAGAAUCCAUUUCAUGUCUAACUAAUAAAGUGACAAUCCAUGGGGGUGUCUCUCAAAGUAUUUAGAGGGGAGGUAGAACAUUUUGUUUCAAACCAUCUUAUUUGCAAAACGCCUAAAGCACGCAAGGCACGGCCACCAGGGCAAAGGCUUUUCCAGAGUUCAAGGUUUUAAAACAGCUGUUGUUGAUGAAGGAAGUCAUUAAAAUCACCUUGAAAACAAAGACAGUUUUAUUUGAGCCAGAAUUUGGACCUACACCCAGAAGACGUAACCCCCAUGAGUGGAGUAGAAGAUUUCUGCCAAAGAGCCCAAGUCAUACAAAGGGUUUAUGUCCUCCAGGUGACAGGAAGGAGAGACAGAACCUCAAAGGGGCACAUUUCAUUUACAUAAGACAUGUUAUACAAAGAAGAGUUGGGGACAAUACACAUCCUGGCAGUCACCUUGCUCUGAAGGAAAUUAAGAGGAAAGAAGAACUCCCCAUCUGGACAUACGGACUCUUUGCCACUGGAUCCUACUCUGCUUUCCUUGGAUUUCCCUGAAGGCCCAAAAAUCUGCAACCAUCCCGAAAUCCUCCAAUAAACAUGGUCCAGCACCCGUGUCUUUUGGACACCUGAAA